CAUAGUUGAAGAUAGCACCUGGGUUUAGUGUUGGGUUUGUUACAACACGAACGUCACCACCACCUGGUGCCCAUGUAUCGUAAAGACCACCAAGGAACAUCGCUUUAGUUACAAGAAGGAAUGAUCCAAUACCUAGAAGGAUAAGGUGAAUCCCUAGGAUUGUAGUCAUCUUGUUUUUAUCACGCCA
rnacentral:antisense_RNA from 18 species